rnacentral:rRNA from 1 species
AUUGAACGCUGGCGGCAGGCUUAACACAUGCAAGUCGAGCGGGGGAAGGUAGCUUGCUACCGGACCUAGCGGCGGACGGGUGAGUAAUGCUUAGGAAUCUGCCUAUUAGUGGGGGACAACAUCUCGAAAGGGAUGCUAAUACCGCAUACGUCCUACGGGAGAAAGCAGGGGACCUUCGGACCUUGCGCUAAUAGAUGAGCCUAAGUCGGAUUAGCUAGUUGGUGGGGUAAAGGCCUACCAAGGCGACGAUCUGUAGCGGGUCUGAGAGGAUGAUCCGCCACACUGGAACUGAGACACGGCCCAGACUCCUACGGGAGGCAGCAGUGGGGAAUAUUGGACAAUGGGGGGAACCCUGAUCCAGCCAUGCCGCGUGUGUGAAGAAGGCCUUAUGGUUGUAAAGCACUUUAAGCGAGGAGGAGGCUACUUUAGUUAAUACCUAGAGAUAGUGGACGUUACUCGCAGAAUAAGCACCGGCUAACUCUGUGCCAGCCGCCGCCGUAACAC